GGAUCUGGUAUAUUGUGGAACAAGUAUGAUUUUCCUGUAUUCUUGCUCUCAGAGAGUAGUACGAAGACCAUCCAAGAGGUUUCUGAAGAAAUUUUGAAGAGACAGAGAUCUUAUACCACUGUUGUGGCUGAGUUUGAUCUUGUGAUGCAGACAGUGAAAGCUGGAACUCGUGAUUCAGAAUCUUGUUUGAAAGAGGAGACCUGCCUUCCAUUAGGGGGAUACAGGUAACUCAUUUUGCAUUUGU